AGGCACUCAACACUGAUAUGCCAAUCACUCCUGCAUGUAGCUUUUUUAUCACUGAAAGAUUAUCUCCUUCAAUCACGACCUUGCUGAGGCCCAAAUCCAACCUUAUCUGAACUGCCUGGAGACAUGUUAUCGCUCUCGCUGCUACAAUAAAGGUAGGUACGUGAUCAUUUAUAAUUAUUCUCGAACCCAUUAUCUUACUAUCUGUAUUACGGGUAAUUAACCCUAAGCAAGAUUUGUUUGAUCUGGAAAGGUAAGCUGCAUCAAAGUUAAUCUUGUACCAAAAGGGUUCAGGUGAUCUCCACCUCUCCAAGCCAACUCGCUUACCAGGUAAUUUUUUGUUAAUCCCCUAUAAGUCUUUUACAUACAAUCUGGUGAAAUUUGCUACUCUAUUGCUUGAUUAAUGACUCCCAUCAUGAACGAUUUUAUUUCUGUCUGUCCAAAUAGCCCAAAUAGUGCAUGUUACUAGUAGGGGUGUUCAAUCGGUUAACCGACCGGUUAAUCGACCCGAAAUAACAUUAAUCGAAUUAACGACCUUUCAAAAUUUUUAACCGUUAAUCGAACCAAAAUUUUUUCAAAAAAAUUAACCGAACCGAAAAUUAUAUGUUUUUUAAUUUUUGGUUAAAAUAAGUAUAAAAUUAGUCGAAUUAACCAAAUUAACCGAAUUAACUGAAUUACCCGAAUUACUCAAAUUAACCGAAUUAACUGAAUUAACCGAAUUAUUUGUAUAAAAUUAUAUGUUUCUUUAUUUUUAUUUUUAGUUUUAGAUUUUUAUUUUUAUUUAUUAAAUUAUUUGUAAUUUUUAUGAUUGGGUACUUGGGUUAAUAUAUAUUAGAUUGUGUUGAGUUUAUGUUGGAUUGGGUUUGAGUGAAUAGUGGGCUAUUUAUAUAUUAUAAUUUUAUUUAUUAAUUUUUUUGGUUAAAUCGAAAAAAUUCGGUUAACCGACCGGUUUCAAAUCGAAUUAACCGUUAAUUGAAAACUCAAAAAAUUAUUAAUCGACCUCCGACUGAAUUAAUUCGGUUAACCGACUGAUUAAUCGAAUUGGGUCGGUUAACCGAAUUUUUUUGAUUUUACCCGAAUUUUGCAAACCGCUAGUUACUACCCUAAUCUGGGCCAUCGAACUCUCAUGGUAGAUUUUACCAACCCAGUUUCUAUAAUCAUCAUGUAAGGACUCCUAAUCCCAUAUUAUAUUUAACUCCUUCCAAAUUUCUUUAAUAGAAGUACAGUCACGAAACGCAAGAUUCAGAGUCUCAACACCAUCGAUACAUCUAGGGCAAGCCUUCGAAUUAUUGAUCCAUCU
rnacentral:lncRNA from 1 species